GCUUCCUGUGUGUUGAGUGAAUGAGUGAU
rnacentral:piRNA from 1 species